rnacentral:misc_RNA from 1 species
GAAAUGCGAUACGCAAUGCGAAUUGCAGAACCGUGAGUCAUCAGAUUUUUGAACGCAAGUGGCGACAGCUGUGGCUGUCAUGUUCGUUUCAGUGUGCCCGGUUAAUUGCAUCGCAGAAUUUAAUGUGAUUGAAGUAAAACUCUCACUGAAUGUGAGGCAGUGUCGGCCCUGACACCGAGCGAAGUAGUCACUAAUCGGUGAUGGUCGUUUGAGUGUGAGGGUCGGUGAAUCACAGCCUGAACUGCUAUAUCCAAUUAUGUUACCUGAAAUGAGCAAGAAUACCCGCUGAACUUAA